UGGCUCAGUGGUUAAGAGCACUGGCUUCUCUUCCAGAGGACCUGGGUUUGAUUCCCAG
rnacentral:tRNA from 1 species